GACAAACGCUGGCGGCGUGCUUAACACAUGCAAGUCGAACGGAGUACCCUUGAUUGAGGCUUCGGCCAAUUUCUUGGACUACUUAGUGGCGGACGGGUGAGUAACACGUGAGUAACCUGCCCUUGAGAGGGGAAUAACACACCGAAAGGUGUGCUAAUACCGCAUAACAUAUUAAAGCCGCAUGGUUUUAAUAUCAAAGAUUUAUCGGUACGAGAUGGACCCGCGUCUGAUUAGCUAGUUGGUGAGGUAACGGCCCACCAAGGCGACGAUCAGUAGCCGGCCUGAGAGGGUGAACGGCCACAUUGGGACUGAGACACGGCCCAAACUCCUACGGGAGGCAGCAGUGGGGAAUAUUGCACAAUGGGGGAAACCCUGAUGCAGCAACGCCGCGUGAGUGAAGAAGUAUUUCGGUAUGUAAAGCUCUAUCAGCAGGGAAGAAAAUGACGGUACCUGACUAAGAAGCCCCGGCUAACUACGUG
rnacentral:rRNA from 1 species